GACAGAGGGUGCAAACGUUGUUCGGAAUUACUGGGCGUAAAGCGUGUGUAGGCGGUCCACUAAGUCGGGGGUGAAAGCCCGAGGCUCAACCUCGGAACUGCCUUCGAUACUGCGGGUCUCGAGUCCGGGAGAGGUGAGUGGAAUUCCUAGUGUAGAGGUGAAAUUCGUAGAUAUUAGGAAGAACACCAGUGGCGAAGGCGGCUCACUGGCCCGGUACUGACGCUGAGGCGCGAAAGCGUGGGGAGCAAACAGG
rnacentral:rRNA from 1 species